rnacentral:misc_RNA from 1 species
AGAUGGAUCAUUCAUAAAACGACAAUUAGUCUUAUGGUAUUAUUUUCUAAACGAAAUGAGAGGUUGUGGUUAGAGUCGUGUAUAAAUCAAAUUAAUGAAAUUGGUUAUUUUUUUCUAAAUUACAAUGAGAUACUUCUAUUUACGCCUUUCAGCGAUGGAUGUCUCGGUUCUCGUAACGAUGAAGAACGCAGCUAGCUGCGAGAUGCAGUGUGACAUGCGAACUUCUGUGAAUCAUUAGAUUUUUGAACGCAAACGGUACUUCUAAAUUUACUUUAGAAGUAUGUUCACUUCAGUGCUUUAAUUUUUAUGUUGUCCUAAUUGAUGGUCAACGUGACUAGCUGCUAUGUUUUUGUGGCAGCUGAAAGAUUAGUGGUAAUGGCUUUUAGGUGAACCUUUAAAAACCAUAUCCAAACAAAUUCUCUUAUUAAGCCUGAAGUUGAGCAAGUAUACCCGCUGAACUUAAGCAUAUUAUUAAGCGGAGGAAGAGAAACUAACUAGGAUUUCCUUAGUAACGGCGAGUGAACAGGAAAUAGCUCAAACUGGAAAUCAACAGGUUCCUGUUGAAUUGUAGUCUCAUGAAGUGCAGCCUGUGAAUGCUCUGAAUUAAGUCUCUUGGAAAAGAGCACCAAAGAGGGUGAGAGUCCCGUCUUUAUUCAGAGAUAUUUACUUUCGGUGCAUUUUCAAAGAGUCGUGUUCCUUGAGAUUGGAGCGCUAAGUGGGUGAUAAAUUUCAUCUAAAGCUAAAUAUUAACGAGAUUCCGAUAGUGCACAAGUACCGUGAGGGAACGAUGAAAAGAACUUUGAAAAGAGAGUUAAAAGGUACUGAAAUUGCUGAAAAGGAAGUGGAGAGUUUCAACGGUCUGGCGAAGUUCCCCAUGUGCUUUGGGUAUUCUUAUCCACAAGCAUGUGGUAGGGAUUUGCAGUGACCUUGGAAGUGGUUAUUUAACCUGAUAACAUUAAAGGUGUGGUUCUAAAUCAGUACUACAUCUUUGGUGUCUCCAGGUUGGAUAAUUUAUGUAGUUCUAAUUCAACAUUUUUCUGUUGAAUUAUGCUCUUCCAGCAAUGUUGAACCUCUCCUUCCCGUCUUGAAUCACGGACCAAGGAGUCUAUUUCAUGUGCGAGUACAAGGGUUGAAAACCUACGUGCGAAAUGAAAGUAACUGUCAGGAAGGUAGUAAUACCUGCACUGACAUUCGGUUAACCGAUCGAAGUUGAGCACAUAGAAUAGGACCCGAAAGAUGGUGAACUAUGCCUGAGUAGGGUGAAGCUAGAGGAAACUCUGGUGGAAGCUCGUAGCGAUACUGACGUGCAAAUCGUUCGUCAAACUUUGGUAUAGGGGCGAAAGACCAAUCGAACCAUCUAGUAGCUGGUUCCCUC